GGCAACUGUAACUGCUCAGACUGAAGGAGUUGCAGGCAAGCUCAGUCUUAUAAUCAGAAGAAACUGUUAGAAACCUGGGUUUGGAUCCUCUCCUGCAAUCAUCCAGGGGAGAAAAAGAGUUGGCUGUCAGUUCUCCAGUGCCUGAGUGUUUYUCUGCAAUGGUAUCUCAUGCUCUUGUAGUUUUUUUUCUCUGUGUUAAUUUCUGAGAUGUUUUUUUUCCCCUGUGGAACUUUAUAUUAACUCCUGCGAUCUCCUUCCAAGGUUUCCUCCACCACCUCCUGGUUCAUCUACCAGAGUUUCCCUUAGCCUCCUCGAGAACCCAAGAUCUCCUGGAGCAGUUUUGAGACUGACAGCUUCAAGGUCUUUGUCCCCGGUCUGCACGGUAAUCUGUCCUCCCAUCGCUCCAUCUGGCUGCACUGCACUCAACCACCCCCCACUGGUGGACGCUCCCUCACAACUCCAGUUAGAGUGAUUCCCUU